rnacentral:rRNA from 1 species
AUUGAACGCUGGCGGCAGGCCUAACACAUGCAAGUCGAACGGUAGCACAGAGAGCUUGCUCUCGGGUGACGAGUGGCGGACGGGUGAGUAAUGUCAGGGAAACUGCCCGAUGGAGGGGGAUAACUACUGGAAACGGUAGCUAAUACCGCAUAAUGUCGCCCGACCACAGAGGGGGAGUAUCGGGCCUCUUGCCAUCGGAUGUGCCCAGAUGGGAUCAGCUGGUUGGUGAGGUAAUGGCACACCAAGCCGACGAUCCCUAGCUGGUCUGAGAGGAUGACCAGCCACACUGGAACUGAGCCACGGUCCAGACUCCUGCGGGAGUGUGCGGUCAGGAAUAUUGCCCAGUGCGCGCAGACCUGCUGCAGGCAUGCCGCGUGUAUCAAGAGGGCCUUCGGGUUGUAACGUACUUUCAGCGGUGAGGAAGGCAAUGCGGUUAGUAUCCGUGUUGAUUGACCUUCCCCGCACAAGAAGCACCGGCUAACUCCUUC